GACGAACGCUGGCGGCGUGCUUAACACAUGCAAGUCGAACGAUGAAGAAGAGAAACGCGGACUUCGGUUCAAAUUUCACUUCGGAUUAGUGGCAGACGGUUGAGUAACGCGUGAGCAACCUACCUCUUACAAAGGGAUAGCCUCGGGAAACCGUGAUUAAUACCAUAUGACACAUUCAUAAGGCAUCUUAAGAAUGUUAAAGCUACGGCGGUAAGAGAUGGGCUCGCGUCCCAUUAGCUAGUUGGUGAGGUAACGGCCCACCAAGGCGACGAUGGGUAACCGGCCUGAGAGGGUGAACGGUGACAUUGGAACUGAGACACGGUCCAAACUCCUACGGGAGGCAGCAGUGGGGAAUAUUGCACAAUGGAGGGAACUCUGAUGCAGCGACGCCGCGUGAGCGAUGAAGGAAUUCGUUUCGUAAAGCUCUGUUCUAUGGGAAGAAAAGGACUGUACCAUAGGAGAAAGCCCCGGCUAAAUACGUG
rnacentral:rRNA from 1 species